ensembl:lncRNA
CGCUCUAUAUUCAUUAAGGUUUAUGAAUUAAAAAUGAGAGCUUUAUGUAGUUAUGCAUGUCAGUUUGCUAUUUAAAAUUUGUGAUGGCAUUUGUCAUAUUAAGAGUGAAUUUGGCAAGAAUUUCCAAGAUGGACUUGCGCUUUUAAACUAGAAUUUAUAAGACAUCAUGUGAAUUCCCCUUGCCAAUUUAUUUUUGCAGUCAAAGGAACAUCUGACUAAAGUCAAAGAAUGAUUUCUUAUGGUUUAUUCUGAUGAAAGUUCUUUUAGCAUAUCACGAACAUACACAUAAAGGAGUCCAAAGCUUUCCAUUCUAACUUAGUCCUUGUAAUAACAUUAUUGCCAUGUUCUACCAUCAUCAGGUGACCAUUUUCAAUGUAGUGAUAUGAAAGAACAUAACAAACUAACUGCUAGCUUUCCUUUGAUUUCAAGAGUCCAAGAAUUUCUAGUAUCUUUGGAUUUUAGCUUACGUUCAGAGCUAAUCCAGAUAUAAUUUCAGUAAGUGGCCUUUGCUCUUUUUUGUACCAAAGAGCCCAGAUGAUUUCUACGAUUCCUUCCUUCUCUAAAGUGCUGUGGUUCUUCAAACACUAGUCAUUUCACUAAGAUCCAAGCCAGUUGCUUUGGGAAGCUGCAUUAACUUAUUCAGGCCCUCAGAUAUCCCAUGGUACAAUUGAUUAAUUGAAAAUCAGAAAUCAGUUUAAUUGCUGAAAGGACCUGUCUCAGUGUGUGAUAUUGACGUUUUGAGGAAAAUAGACAUAGAUUAAUAUGAGUUUUGUGUGUAGGUCAUGUGUAGAUGAGAAGAUUGGUACUUCUCAAUCUAAUAGUUUGGUUUCUUUUACCAGUGGUUUCAAUUUUCUUAGACAUAUUCAGCAAGUUAUGAAAUUUGGCAUAGUAGGUGAGGGGAGAUGUUUUCUGCCUAAUUAAACAUUGGUUCAUUGAGAGUUACAUGGAUUACCAAUUUUUAAAACACUAAAGUUCCAUAAAAUGCGUGAACAAUAGAAAAAUGCUGGACAUUAUUUUGGAUGCUAGCUGCUUGGGCAUUAACUGUGUCAUAUCUGCUUUGAGAUAAAAAGAAAUAUAUCUAUAUCUAGGCUUUAUGUUAUCUGAUAUGUAUUCUGAAUAUCCGUCUUCAUAAAUCAUGGAAAACUCACAACUGACAUUGUAAACCGUGAAAUCACUUUUUAAAUUGGUGCCAUGUAUCUGAUCAUUCUCUUUUGUAAUGUUUCAAAAUUGCCUUUUAAAAUGAUGUCAGAAGUCUGCAGAUUCUAAAUUAUACUGAAAGUUUUGCACCUCUUUGGUAGAACCCAAGUCUAUAAAGAAACUGGCUCUGUGAUAAAUGGUGCCUGCUCAGUGAUAUGGAAGUGCUCCUGGAUUCUGUAUUACAAUCUAAUGUGCUUACCACAGUGCCACUUUUUAAUGAGUCAGAUUGUUUUUUAAUACAGUAAUAGAAUAAGUAACCUAUCCUCUUAAAAAAGGGUUAAGUAUGUGAAAAAUGAAAACAUAUGAAAAAGUAUGUGUCCAUAAUGAAAUGUUGUUUGCUUUUAAUCAGAAACACAUUUCAUUGAGCAUUAAAGUACUUUGGAGAAACGUUGUGGCAUUUUUUGGUGCUCUAAUUCAAUUGAAGUUAAAUUAACAAAAACAUCUAUUCAGAAUUCAUGGGUAUUUCUUAAUGUUUUUCUGCAGCUAGGUUUUGUUUCAACAUGUAAUUCCAAUAUAGAGCUUUUAGCCAUUCCAUAUCUAUGCUUCUUUAACUAAAAAGUGUAUUUUUUUAAAAAGACAGUUUGGCUUAGUGGGGUAGAUGUUGGGAAAAAUCGUCAGGAGGCUCUAUUCUGCCGUUAACUCAUAUUGGUAAAUCACCUCUCCUCUUUGGAUCUCAAUUCUUUUAUUUAUAUACUGAACUUGGAGGUCACAUCUUAGGUGUGAAACCUAUUGAUAUGUGACAGACAAAAAAGAUAAAACAGAGCUGAAACUAUUCCAUAUAAAAUAUCCAACUCUGAUCUCUGUGAAUAAGCAAUUUGAACAUAAAAAGUCAUUACCGUUAGUUCUUGUUUGUAAUGUAAAUAGGGUCCAUUAGUAAAAGUGAAAUUCAGUCUCAUGUAGGGUGAAUUGGAUAACCAUGUAUACAAGAGAUGGCUUUUUUCUUUGCUUAAAUAAAUGUUUUUGGAUCACCUCUGAAGAGUGAAAACCAGUAGUACAUUUUCGUGAUUUUAGUCAGGAAGAGAUUCUAUAAGAUGCGUGUAACAUUUGGAAAUGCCCCACAUCAAGGAUUUAAAUGCUCUCAUUUUAUUAAAAGCUAAGAGCAGAAAAUGUAAGAUGCUCAUAACAUUUUUGAAUGCCAAAAGAUCAUUUAGAAUCCAUUUGGAAAGGGGUAAUCCAUAAAUUACAUUUUAAAAUUGAAAAGGGGGAUAAGAAUUUUAAAGUAAGCCAGCUUGUCUUUGAAACAAUAUUAUUUUGAAAUGGCAUUAAAAGAUAAACAUUCAGGUGGAAAUUCUGACUAGUUCAUUUUUGGUAUUUGAUCAUACAAUUUAUGGUGUUGCUGCUUUCCAUUAACAAGUCUGGAAAUGCCUUUGUUUGAAAAGAUAAAAUAAUGGUACUUUGAUUUCCUAAAAAGGUGUUGUCUUAGAAAUAAUCCAUAUUAAAAUGAAUAUUUAUGAUCCUAAAAUGUUUGCUAAGCAUUGUAAAUUUAUAACUGCCAUCUCCAACUACAUCCUUAUGAUGUUGUUUUUAAAAAUAAAAUUAAGAUAAUAAUAGUUUGAACUAAAAACCAUAGUAUUUUCAGUUACUUGAUUUCUGAGCUAUAAGACUCACUAAAUAAAAUUUUCCAAUCAAAAUAUCCUAUUCUGUAGUCUAAGGAUUAAUGUGUGAUUAUAGUGUCCCACUUGCCACGUUUUUUAAGUCAAUGGACUUGAAAAGUAUUCAGAUAUUUAGAUGGAUGCACAGGUAUAUUGCUAGUCAGUCAUAGAUUGGAGUUUGCGUAUUGUAAUGUAAAUGUAUGUCAAUGCUAUUCUAAAUAGUUUUAUUAUGACUGAAGUUUAAUUAAAUAAAAAAGGUUGUAAAAUGUGAUGUGUUAUGUGUAUAUACUGUAUGUGUACUUUUUAAAAUAGGUAUAUGUCCUGACCCUUUUUUAUACAGGUUUGAAUUUGAAAUUACAUUAUAUAUACAUAUACUUUAUUGUUCUAAAUAAAGAAUUUUAUGCACUCUCAUAA